rnacentral:tRNA from 1 species
AAAAUGGCAGAAAAAUGUGUCAGGUUUAAGCUCUGAAGAUAAAGUUUACUUUUUUU